rnacentral:rRNA from 1 species
UGGGGAAUAUUGCACAAUGGGGGAAACCCUGAUGCAGCGACGCCGCGUGAGCGAUGAAGGCUUUCGAGUCGAAAACCUCUGUCCUAUGGGAAGAUAAUGACGGUACAAUAGAAGAAAGCCCCGGCUAAUAACGGGCCAGCAGCCGCGGUAAUACGUAAGGGGCGAGCGUUGUCCGGAAUUAUUGGGCGUAAAGAGUGCGUAGGCGGCAAAUUAAGUCAGAUGUGAAAACUAAGGGCUCAACCCAUAGAUUGCAUCUGAAACUGAUAUGCUUGAGUCAAGGAGAGGAAAGUGGAAUUCCUAGUGUAGCGGUGGAAUGCGUAGAUAUUAGGAGGAAUACCGGUGGCGAAGGCGACUUUCUGGACUUGAACUGACGCUGAGGCACGAAAGCGUGGGGAGCAAACAGG